rnacentral:piRNA from 1 species
UGUUUUCCAAAUUUUCGAAAA